rnacentral:rRNA from 1 species
GACGAACGCUGGCGGCGUGCUUAACACAUGCAAGUCGAACGGUGAAGCGCCUUCCUUUUUGGUGGGUGUGGAUGAGUGGCGAACGGGUGAGUAACACGUGAGUAACCUGCCCCCUUCUUCUGGAUAACCGCAUGAAAGUGUGGCUAAUACGGGAUAUUCUGGGUCUGUCGCAUGAUGGGUCUGUGGAAGCUAUUGUUUCGGUGGGGGAUGGGCUCGCGGCGGAUCAGCUGGUUGGUGGGGUGAUGGCCUACCAAGGCGGCGACGGCGGGCCGGCCUGAGGGGAUGAUGGGCGACACUAGAAGUGAGACAACGCGCAGAAGACUCCGAGAGGAGGCAGUGGGGGAUAUUAGAGCACGGUCGGAAGAAGGCUGAAGCAGCAACGCCGCGGUAGAGAUGGAGGUCGUGUUGUUGAGAACCUCUGUCGGGAGAGAAGAGCAGCAGGCUAGUAUCUCGGUGGGUUGACGGUAGCUAAAGAAGAAGCACCGGCUAACUACGUG